rnacentral:tRNA from 1 species
GUCCGGGUGGCUCAGUCGGUUGAGCAUCUGACUUCGACUCAGGUCAUGAUCUCACAGUUCGUGAGUUCGAGCCCCGCGUCGGGCU